AGAGUUUGAUCCUGGCUCAGGAUGAACGCUAGCGGCAGGCUUAACACAUGCAAGUCGAGGGGUAACAGGAGAGCUUGCUCUCGCUGAGCACGGGUGAGUAACGCGUAUGCAACCUACCUUGAACUGAGGGAUAGCCCAGAGAAAUCUGGAUUAAUACCCCAUGGCACUUAAAGAAUGCAUAUUUAGACAAUUAAAGAUUUAUCGGUAAAAGAUGGGCAUGCGUGACAUUAGUUUGUUGGUGAGGUAACGGCUCACCAAGACUACGAUGUCUAGGGGUUCUGAGAGGAUGAUCCCCCACACUGGUACUGAGACACGGACCAGACUCCUACGGGAGGCAGCAGUGAGGAAUAUUGGUCAAUGGGCGAAAGCCUGAACCAGCCAUCCCGCGUGAAGGAAGACUGCCCUAUGGGUUGUAAACUUCUUUUAUGUACCAAGAAUGGCAUCUACGUGUAGAUUUUUGACGGUAGUACAUGAAUAAGCAUCGGCUAACUCCGUGCCAGCAGCCGCGGUAAUACGGAGGAUGCGAGCGUUAUCCGGAUUCAUUGGGUUUAAAGGGUGUGUAGGCGGCUUAUUAAGUCAGUGGUGAAAUCCUGCGGCUCAACCGUAGAACUGCCAUUGAUACUGAUAAGCUUGAAUAUAGUUGAGGUAGGCGGAAUGAGUAGUGUAGCGGUGAAAUGCUUAGAUAUUACUCAGAACACCGAUUGCGAAGGCAGCUUACUAAACUAUUAUUGACGCUGAUGCACGAAAGCGUGGGGAGCGAACAGGAUUAGAUACCCUGGUAGUCCACGCCGUAAACGAUGUUCACUCGCUGUAUGCAAUACACCGUAUGCGGCCAAGCGAAAGUAUUAAGUGAACCACCUGGGGAGUACGUCGGCAACGGUGAAACUCAAAGGAAUUGACGGGGGCCCGCACAAGCGGAGGAACAUGUGGUUUAAUUCGAUGAUACGCGAGGAACCUUACCUGGGCUUAAAUGUAGAUUGCAUGACGUGGAAACACGGCUUCCCUUCGGGGCUAUUUACAAGGUGCUGCAUGGUUGUCGUCAGCUCGUGCCGUGAGGUGUCGGGUUAAGUCCCAUAACGAGCGCAACCCCUAUCGUUAGUUGCCAUCAGGUCAUGCUGGGGACUCUAGCGAGACUGCCACCGUAAGGUGAGAGGAAGGUGGGGAUGACGUCAAAUCAGCACGGCCCUUAUGUCCAGGGCUACACACGUGUUACAAUGGCAGGUACAAAGGGCAGCUACACCGCGAGGUGAUGCUAAUCUCUAAAGCCUGUCUCAGUUCGGAUCGGAGUCUGCAACUCGACUCCGUGAAGUUGGAUUCGCUAGUAAUCGGAUAUCAGCCAUGAUCCGGUGAAUACGUUCCCGGGCCUUGUACACACCGCCCGUCAAACCAUGGAAGCUGGGGGGACCUGAAGUCUGUCACCGAAAGGAGCGGCCUAGGGUAAAACCGGUAACUGGGGUUAAGUCGUAACAAGGUAGCCCUAA
rnacentral:rRNA from 1 species